GAUGAAGAACGUAGCGAAAUGCGAUAAGUAAUGCGAAUUGCAGAAUUUCCGUGAGUCAUCGAAUCUUUGAACGCACAUUGCGCCCACUGGUAUUCCGGUGGGCAUGCCUGUUCGAGCGUCAUUAUCCUCCCUCAAACCCCGGGUUUGGUGUUGGACCCAAGUUGUGUGAACAACUGGUCUCAAAGACAAUGACGGCGUCCGUGGGACCCUCGGUGCAACGAGCUUUUAGGAGCACGCAUCGAGUUGCAAGGACCUUCCGGGCCGGUCUCCUUUACCAUUUUACAAGGUUGACCUCGGAUCAGGUAGGAAUACCCGCUGAACUUAAGCAUAUAAAUAAGCGGAGGA
rnacentral:misc_RNA from 1 species